CAGCGGGCGAUUAGCACUCCAGUGUGUAAUAUAGCUCAGUGAUCCCAUCUUGCAUCAAACGUUUCCUGUUUGGCUCAUGAAAUUCAGGAGCUUCAUCCGGGGACCACUGCGGCGUCCGUUCAAACUUCCUUCUUGCAGAAUUUUUUGCAGCGCUGCACGGCCCUGGUAACCAUACGCGCAACCGCAUGUAACUGAUCUUGUCUGCUGAGGGAAGCAUGAAGCGCUCUAGACUCUCCUGGUAGACAGCUGCAUUGAUGGUGGACUUCUGAAAACCCAAUGGACCAGAACCAGCAGAUGUCAUGGCACCCCAAACCAUCACUGACUGUCGAAACUUCAUUCUGGACUUCAAGCACCGUGGAUUCUGGAAAAUUUGCAGGUAACAGUAACAAAACAGUCAAAUACUCAUGACAUUAGAAUUUGAGGUUGGGACUGUUUGUUCCUUCUAUUGCUAGUUUAACAUCUGGUAAGAGCUGCUUUUCCAAAGGUUGCUCUCCAUCUUUCUUUCUAAUCUUGCUCUGGUGCUUUCUCUGUCUUCCUGAAAUGCUUUUGUCUUUAUUUUGUCUUCAGAGCUGAAAUCUGUCCUAUUCUGACUAACUCUGCUCUCAUAUCUACCCAGAAACAGAGGCCGAACUCUGCAGCCAAUAGCCUCUGGCUUGUAUUCUAUUGAUGGAAAAUUCGACAACCUAUUAUUUACGACUCUUUGUGUAACACAGCUUGGUGAACGCCCCUCAAGGGUCCAAACACACAUAACCAGUUAUUUUAGCACCGCUAGAAACAUUAACACACAACUCUCCAACGUGAGGAACAGUUCAUGAAUCCUUUCAGAUAACAGAUUUAAAAAAAAUAUUUUUUCUUGUCUUAGUCCUUAGUUCUUGACACUAAAGUAAAAA